GUCUCAGGUGAAGAGUGGGUGGCACUGUAUGGCCUUGGGAGAGGUAUGUAGUUCAGUGUUACUGAGGGGGAUUAUAAUGGGUUACAGAAGUAAAAAUUGAAUUGCAAUUAGAUAUUAGAGAGCAUUGAUUGUAGUUCUAGGGGGGAACACUCAGAGUAGGAGGGAGGCUUCCAUUUUGAGGGAAGAAGUGAGGAUGUGUGAGUUAGAUAGUACUGAGUGGGAAUUAGGGAAAGGAUAUGGAAUGCCCUGGCAGCCUGUAGGGUGGCUAAAGGUUGGAGUUAGGUAGGAAACUGUUGUUUAGGGAUGGAUUACGAUAGAGAUUUAAAACAAAAUAGGGCUGGGGA
rnacentral:lncRNA from 1 species